rnacentral:rRNA from 1 species
GAUGAACGCUGGCGGCGUGCCUAAUACAUGCAAGUCGAGCGAACAGACGAGGAGCUUGCUCCUCUGACGUUAGCGGCGGACGGGUGAGUAACACGUGGAUAACCUACCUAUAAGACUGGGAUAACUUCGGGAAACCGGAGCUAAUACCGGAUAAUAUAUUGAACCGCAUGGUUCAAUAGUGAAAGACGGUUUUGCUGUCACUUAUAGAUGGAUCCGCGCCGCAUUAGCUAGUUGGUAAGGUAACGGCUUACCAAGGCAACGAUGCGUAGCCGACCUGAGAGGGUGAUCGGCCGCACGGGAACUGAGACACGGUCCAGACUCCUACGGGAGGCAGCAGUAGGGAAUCUUCCGCAGUGGGCGAAAGCCUGACGGAGCAACGCCGCGUGAGUGAUGAAGGUCUUCGGAUCGUAAAACUCUGUUAUUAGGGAAGAACAAAUGUGUAAGUAACUAUGCACGUCUUGACGGUACCUAAUCAGAAAGCCACGGCUAACUACGUG